rnacentral:lncRNA from 1 species
AUCUAAAAACCCAGCAGAAAAUGGCAUCAUUUUGGUGCAGAGUUGUUGCCGAAGUAAGUGGAUUCCAAGGAAUUUAAAAUUUUGAGAUCCAUCUGCAGAAUUGCACUUGCGGAGGGUAGAAAACUUCAUGUUUCUGGGUAUCAAAUAUAUUGCUGCACUUUACUCCUUGAGUUGGUUUCCUUGCUUUGCAUAUGGGCACAUUUGAAUUGUUGAUUAGACUGUAUAGCC